AAAUGGUCCUUGAUCUUGGAUUAUUGCUAAGAAUUAUUCUCGGUAAUUUGUUUUUUUACACCGCACUUAAAGCAUAAGUACUACUUGUGAUUUCCGAUUAGAAAGGAAAAAAAAAAAGAUUGAUUUUGUAAACAUCACUACCAGACAAAUUAAAUAAUCUGAUUUAUCUCUUAUCGCAUGAUCAUAGUAACAUAUACUGUAAACCACAACAAGCAAAUGCUCUCAUAAAAGUGUUAGACACUGGUCAAAACAGAUGAUUCUUUCAUACUAGGGUUUGAGAACAAUACCAUCUUCAAAAUCCGACUUAGUCAUGCUGAUGAGAAAUCACGAUUUUCAACCAAACACCAACUCAAUAAAGGCAUCAGUAUUUAAUAACUAUCAAGAUGAAGAUACAAUGAUGUAAAAAUAGGCUAAACUACUGAGUAUGAUUGAGCUCAAUAAUUUAGAAAUUAUUCCUCAUCAAUUUGACACGGCUCAGGAAGAUCAAAGGCCUUCCGCGGAAGAUUUC